rnacentral:rRNA from 1 species
CAGUCGCCGCGGUAAAACGGAGGGAGCUAGCGUUAUUCGGAAUUACUGGGCGUAAAGCGCACGUAGGCGGCUUUGUAAGUUAGAGGUGAAAGCCUGGAGCUCAACUCCAGAAUUGCCUUUAAGACUGCAUCGCUUGAAUCCAGGAGAGGUGAGUGGAAUUCCGAGUGUAGAGGUGAAAUUCGUAGAUAUUCGGAAGAACACCAGUGGCGAAGGCGGCUCACUGGACUGGUAUUGACGCUGAGGUGCGAAAGCGUGGGGAGCGAACAGGAUUAGAUACCCCUGUAGUCCAUGUCUCUUAUAC